CUAUUUUUCUCCCACUUGCCUGUAGAGAAGCCUGGAAUGAGUAGUUCAGUUGUAAAUAAAGAGCUGUGUACAUUUAGUUUGAUUGAACCCCAUUUCAAGUGAAGGAAAUUUACUGCUGUCUGUUAUCUGAUGGUCUUCUUGGAAGGAGUGAUAUAAAUGCCAUUCAAAACUCUACUCCAUAUCUUCAGGAGCAAUUCUGUCAGAGAGGAAAAGGAAUGAAUGGGAUGCUUUGAGCACUACAAGAUUUUGCAGUUCUACAAAUAUGUAUCAACCAUUAUUUCCAGAGUGACACUGCUUGCCUUGAGAAAUAAUAAAUUAUGAGAUGAGCAGGACAGCACUUUUAAGAAGGACCUUCCCAAGGGAGUGCCGUCUUUGCUAAGCACUCUGAACUGCUUGCUGUAAAUUACACACCUGGAGUACUGUUCCACUCUGAUAAGCUCUGCCCUCUCCCCUUCUCAGCUUUGUGGAAGAGGUACAGGCAACGGACAAUAAAGCACUUGGCGCCUCUCAGAAAUGAGACCUCAGAAGAUAAAGAAAAAGCAUAUAUAUGCUUAAAAUGCACAUUGAUUGUCAAAGGUUCUUUAAAGCUACAUACAUCUCUAUUAAAAACAACUAAUGCCUGGACUACGGUAGAGCAUGGAGGCCAUCGUAUCUGUGAGAAAUUUUCUUCACGUUUUUUACUUGCUUGGAAGGGAGUAAAUACAAAAGAAAUGAGUAGAAAUGUCCUUUCCCCCAAGAUGCAGUCAAGGAAUCUGUUACGUCUAUGUAUUGUGCCUGAAGGUUUC
rnacentral:lncRNA from 1 species